rnacentral:lncRNA from 1 species
AGAGUUAGUGUUGGUGUCUGAGCGUUUGCUAGGCAGGUUUAGGGCUAAGGGGGGCUGGGCUGUGGGCUCGACUUUCAGGCAGGCCAGUUUAUGGUGAACUCCACAGAGGCGUUUCUCCCACGUUCGCAAGUCCUUGCUGGAAUCAAAAGACUAUUAGCAUUGAUCAUUGAUCAUUGACAGUGCAACAAGGCGUACUCAUGGCAACCAUACCAUGAGAACCGUAUAUCACAUUGGACAAUCCGCUUGUUCGGCACGUAGGACACAUAAUAGCUACGGAGUACAUGCUGAAGCACUAUAUUCGUGUUCUACUGCACCAUUCUCCAAGGACAGACAUAGUCCACUCCGAUAAACUUUCACCUUCCAAGGACUCCCUAGCUCCAACAAGACCCAUGCUCUUGAUAAGUUAUGGUAACCCUCGAAUCUUGAGAGUCUUGACUGCAACAGACCCGCAGUCGGGAGCACGGAUGAGCAUCCGGGCUGUCCACCCCCAAAAAGAAACAAUCCGGUCCUAUCGUUCGUAUUCAAGAUCGACGCCACGAACAUGGCAUGCCAGGCAGAAAUAAGAAAAUUCUCCUCCAAUAUGACUGGGUCCGGUUAACAUACCUUAAGAGAGUACGGAGUAGCGACACGGGCAUGUGUUUCAUUUUCUCGCCACGGAGAGAGUAGGCGAGGAAUUGUGGAAUCAUUAGAUUUUGUGUGUGUGUAUCAGCAGUUAGCCGAGAAUGUGCGCAUAUGCCUCAUAUCCACUAGAUAUAUAUACAUAUGUAGUAUGUCGAGCAACAUUGAAACGAGGUAACACAACCCCCACAAACAAAAAAGACCACACAACCUCGAAAGUACAUGCGAGCAAACAAAACUUACGCCGACGAUCACAAUCCCGUAAUCCUGGAUACCUCUCCAUACACCCGAUGAACCAUAACGCACAACCCAUGUCUAGCCCAGUGGUUGACUUUGAGAUGCAUGCAAGGCGUUCGGUCCUGGAAGCAAGCAAUAUACAUCCGCGGGAACCACAUUGAGAACCGGUGGGCUGUUUCAAAAAUUGGAGGGGAAGAAAAAAACUUAGGUAGAGCACAUGCUGGCGUAGGGCAUGGGGGUCUCGAUUUCUUAAUUGGGACGACGGCAUGAACUAGAUAUAUAUCCUACGUAGUAUACCUACGCUACAACGGAACUCAAUCUUGUGUAUGUGAAUCAGUUUAGCAUGUAUCCAGGUUCGGCGCAUCUUGCAUGCUUAGAGGAUAGACGGCGCAAACUAUGAUUCCAUAGAAGUAUAUACAUAACAUUUGGCUGAGAUUUGGUAUUGAGGGAGCGAAUGCGAACACAAGUCCCCUCUUCUGACUAAUUGGCUACUGUCAAUUAACGACCAAGUAAGUUACUCUACACGUACGUAGUGAUAUUGGAACUGAUAAUCUCAUCUACAUCGUAUUGUCUCGAGUUGACCCGAGUCUCUGGAUACGAUUUCGAUACGAUAACUAUCGAUCCUGGAUCUGUUCCCCAUCCUCUGGAUACCAGGUAACCUAAAUCUUUCUCUGGAUUUCCCAAGCUUUGAACAUUCCCAUGUGCCAUACUGAACUAUAAUGAUGGCAAGUAUAGAUGGGUACCUAGGUCGGAGUAGGAAAAACUUACGAAGAU